AACGAACGCUGGCGGCAUGCCUAACACAUGCAAGUCGAACGAGACCUUCGGGUCUAGUGGCGCACGGGUGCGUAACGCGUGGGAACCUGCCCUUAGGUUCGGAAUAACUCCCCGAAAGGGGUGCUAAUACCGGAUAAUGUCUUCGGACCAAAGAUUUAUCGCCUUUGGAUGGGCCCGCGUUGGAUUAGCUAGUUGGUAGGGUAAAAGCCUACCAAGGCGACGAUCCAUAGCUGGUCUGAGAGGAUGAUCAGCCACACUGGGACUGAGGCACGGCCCAGACUCCUACGGGAGGCAGCAGUGGGGAAUAUUGGACAAUGGGCGAAAGCCUGAUCCAGCAAUGACGCGUGAGUGAUGAAGGCAUUAGGGUUGUAAAGCUCUUUUACCCGGGAUGAUAAUGACAGUACCGGGAGAAUAAGCGCCGGCUAACUCCGUG
rnacentral:rRNA from 1 species